rnacentral:rRNA from 1 species
CAGUCGCCACGGUAAUACGAGGGGGGCAAGCGUUGUUCGGAAUUAUUGGGCGUAAAGGGUGCGUAGGCGGUCUGAUAAGUCUGAUGUGAAAUCCCUGGGCUCAACCUGGGAAUUGCAGUGGAUACUGGGUCACUAGAGUGUGGUAGAGGAUAGUGGAAUUUCCGGUGUAGCAGUGAAAUGCGUAGAGAUCGGAAGGAACAUCUGUGGCGAAGGCGACUAUCUGGGCCAACACUGACACUGAGGCACGAAAGCGUGGGGAGCAAACAGGAUUAGAUACCCCAGUAGUCCCUGUCUCUUAUAC